rnacentral:rRNA from 1 species
AUUGAACGCUGGCGGCAUGCCUUACACAUGCAAGUCGAACGGCAGCACGGGAGCAAUCCUGGUGGCGAGUGGCGAACGGGUGAGUAAAGUAUCGGAACGUGCCCAGUCGUGGGGGAUAACGUAGCGAAAGUUACGCUAAUACCGCAUACGAUCUAUGGAUGAAAGCGGGGGAUCGCAAGACCUCGCGCGAUUGGAGCGGCCGAUAUCAGAUUAGGUAGUUGGUGGGGUAAAGGCUCACCAAGCCGACGAUCUGUAGCUGGUCUGAGAGGACGACCUGCCACACUGUGACUGAGACACGGCCCAGACUCCGACGUGAGGCAGCAGUGUGGAAUUUUGGACAAUGGGCGCAAGCCUGAUGCGGCCAUGCCGCGUGCAGGAUGAAGGCCUUCGGGUUGUAAACUGCUUUUGUACGGAACGAAAAGGUUUGGCCUAAUACGCUGAACUCAUGACGGUACCGUAAGAAUAAGCACCGGCUAACUACGUGCCAGCCGCCGCCGUAA